AGCGAACGCUGGCGGCAGGCUUAACACAUGCAAGUCGAGCGGACCUUUCGGGGUCAGCGGCGGACGGGUGAGUAACGCGUGGGAACGUGCCUUCCGGUUCGGAAUAACCCUGGGAAACUAGGGCUAAUACCGGAUACGCCCUUAUGGGGAAAGGUUUACUGCCGGAAGAUCGGCCCGCGUCUGAUUAGCUAGUUGGUGGGGUAACGGCCUACCAAGGCGACGAUCAGUAGCUGGUCUGAGAGGAUGAUCAGCCACACUGGGACUGAGACACGGCCCAGACUCCUACGGGAGGCAGCAGUGGGGAAUAGUGGACAAUGGGCGCAAGCCUGAUCCAGCCAUGCCGCGUGAGUGAUGAAGGCCUUAGGGUUGUAAAGCUCUUUUAUCCGGGACGAUAAUGACGGUACCGGAGGAAUAAGCCCCGGCUAACUUCGUG
rnacentral:rRNA from 1 species